rnacentral:lncRNA from 1 species
UACGGGGACUCUUAACUUUGUGACUUGAUUUUUCCUUUGAUAGAGGGAAUAUAAGCGUGCUAAGGCUUAGAAAAAGCCACACUCGUCUAUAUCCCAUAUUUAAGGGGACUCUUCAGGCAAAUGUACCCUAACUAGCAUGAGAUGCAAGACCUAAAGUGAGGGGAAAGGGGAAUCGAGGAGCAUGCCAGAUGAUAAAACUAAGGAAAAAUGCAUGAUAUGUAGUGAACAGGCAAAUAAUG